rnacentral:rRNA from 1 species
GACGAACGCUGGCGGCGUGCUUAACACAUGCAAGUCGAACGAUGAAGCCCUUCGGGGUGGAUUAGUGGCGAACGGGUGAGUAACACGUGGGCAAUCUGCCCUUCACUCUGGGACAAGCCCUGGAAACGGGGUCUAAUACCGGAUAACACUCCUCUGGGCAUCUGGAGGGGUUGAAAGCUCCGGCGGUGAAGGAUGAGCCCGCGGCCUAUCAGCUUGUUGGUGAGGUAGUGGCUCACCAAGGCGACGACGGGUAGCCGGCCUGAGAGGGCGACCGGCCACACUGGGACUGGGACACGGCCCAGACUCCUACGGGAGGCAGCAGUGGGGAAUAUUGCACAAUGGGCGAAAGCCUGAUGCAGCGACGCCGCGUGAGGGAUGACGGCCUUCGGGUUGUAAACCUCUUUCAGCAGGGAAGAAGCGAAAGUGACGGUACCUGCAGAAGAAGCGCCGGCUAACUACGUGCCAGCAGCCGCGGUAAUACGUAGGGCGCAAGCGUUGUCCGGAAUUAUUGGGCGUAAAGAGCUCGUAGGCGGCUUGUCGCGUCGGUUGUGAAAGCCCGGGGCUUAACCCCGGGUCUGCAGUCGAUACGGGCAGGCUAGAGUGUGGUAGGGGAGAUCGGAAUUCCUGGUGUAGCGGUGAAAUGCGCAGAUAUCAGGAGGAACACCGGUGGCGAAGGCGGAUCUCUGGGCCAUUACUGACGCUGAGGAGCGAAAGCGUGGGGAGCGAACAGGAUUAGGUACCCUGGUAGUCCACGCCGUAAACGGUGGGAACUAGGUGUUGGCGACAUUCCACGUCGUCGGUGCCGCAGCUAACGCAUUAAGUUCCCCGCCUGGGGAGUACGGCCGCAAGGCUAAAACUCAAAGGAAUUGACGGGGGCUCGCACAAGCAGCGGAGCAUGUGGCUUAAUUCGACGCAACGCGAAGAACCUUACCAAGGCUUGA